rnacentral:rRNA from 1 species
CCUACGGGUGGCAGCAGUGAGGAAUAUUGGUCAAUGGACGAGAGUCUGAACCAGCCAAGUAGCGUGAAGGAUGACUGCCCUAUGGGUUGUAAACUUCUUUUAUAUGGGAAUAAAACGUUCCACGUGUGGGAUUUUGUAUGUACCAUAUGAAUAAGGAUCGGCUAACUCCGUGCCAGCAGCCGCGGUAAUACGGAGGAUCCGAGCGUUAUCCGGAUUUAUUGGGUUUAAAGGGAGCGUAGGUGGUUGGUUAAGUUAGUUGUGAAAGUUUGAGGCUCAACCUUGGAAUUGCCGUUGAAACUGGUAGGCUUGAGAGUAGUAGAGGUAGGCGGAAUGCGUGGUGUAGCGGUGAAAUGCUUAGAGAUCACGAAGAACUCCGAUUGCGAAGGCAGUUUAC